UGCUCAGCAACUCCUAUCCCUACCUCCACGCGGUACUUGCCGGAAACUAUGAGG
rnacentral:ribozyme from 1 species